rnacentral:rRNA from 1 species
UACGAAGGGGGCGAGCGUUGUUCGGAGUUACUGGGCGUAAAGGGCGCGUAGGCGGCGAUCCAAGUUAGGCGUGAAAGCCCCAGGCUCAACCUGGGAAUAGCGCUUAAGACUGGGUUGCUUGAGUGCGGGAGAGGUGAGUGGAAUUCCCAGUGUAGAGGUGAAAUUCGUAGAUAUUGGGAAGAACACCAGUGGCGAAGGCGGCUCACUGGCCCGCAACUGACGCUGAGGCGCGAAAGCGUGGGGAGCAAACAGG